UAUUUUCACAUUUAUUUUUCCAGAGCCAAUGAAAGGAGCAUUUGACCGUCUCCAGUGCUAACACCCAUUACCAUUUUGGAGCAUGCACAGUCUCUGCUUUGCUGGCAAUGAGUGCAGUUAUUGUUUGAAGGGCUGAGAAGUGAAAUCCUUGGAAGCAGAGCUCUGUGGGCUCUCUGCAGACCACAGUACCCUCCCCCAUGUGUCUACAGGACACGGUGUCACAGUGGCUCUCCAGAAGCCCGUGGUGUGAGUGUUGCAGUGGGGUUACCCUGUGAGCAGUGGGGUUACCCAUGGGGUGCCCACAGCUGGAGGGAUAUUAUAUACAUUUCUACCCUCUUCAGAAUAUGGUGACACGCAGGGAAGGGCACUGUCCUUGGUGGGUGCUGCAAGCUAAGCGAGGGAGGGAGCAGAUCCAGCAGCAUCCUCAGCUCUUGGCAGGCCCACAGAGCUAAGGCAGAAGGAGCACAGUGGCAUAAGCAUGGCCCUAGGGAGGAACUCCUUAAUCAUCCAUUAAGGUCCAAUAAAGAGAGCUGAGGCAGCCUGGCAGAGCUCUGCACCCUGCCUUCAGACUGCUACGUCUGGGAGAGAGGAGCCCCACUGGUGUCUCAACCCUUUC